rnacentral:tRNA from 1 species
CGGUGCGUGGCUCAGUUUGGUAGAGCACGGCGUUCGGGACGCCGGGGUCGCAGGUUCAAAUCCUGUCGCACCGA